ACCCCCAUGGCUCAGAUGGCAAAGCGCAUGUCUAGUAAGCAUGAGGUCACGAGUUCGAGCCUAGGUGGAGGCA